GAUGAACGCUAGCGGCAGGCUUAACACAUGCAAGUCGAGGGGUAUAUAGUUUUCGGAUUAUAGAGACCGGCAAACGGGUGCGGAACACGUACGCAAUCUGCCUCUGUCUUGGGGAUAGCCCAUAGAAAUGUGGAUUAAUACCCAAUAGUAUUAUAGAGUGGCAUCACUUAGUAAUUAAAAGAUUUAUUGGACAGAGAUGAGCGUGCGUCCCAUUAGCUAGUUGGUGCGGUAACGGCGUACCAAGGCGACGAUGGGUAGCUGGUGUGAGAGCACGACCAGCCACACGGGCACUGAGACACGGGCCCGACUCCUACGGGAGGCAGCAGUGAGGAAUAUUGGUCAAUGGGCGGAAGCCUGAACCAGCCAUGCCGCGUGAAGGAUGAAGGCGUUCUGCGUUGUAAACUUCUUUAUUGGUAAGAAAUAGUGGUUCUACUGCAACCGACGGUACCAGAUGAAUAAAGCACCGGCUAAACUCCGUGCCAGCAGCCGCGGU
rnacentral:rRNA from 1 species